AUUGUCCGCACUGGAGGGGAAGGAAGAGGAGUUUGCCUCAGCAGUGGAUUCAUCAUUCAUGGCUAAAGGAUGAGUGAAGAGCCCUGAAAGGUGCCUCACACGAGGACCAAGAGGUCACUUCUUUUGAAAGAUGGCUUUUAGGCCCCUUACCUCACCAGGACGUCAGUCUCCAAGACACUCACACCGCAACGGAUGGCCUUCUGGAAGGACAUCAGAGUGUUCUCAGGUGCAAGCUGGAAGAAGAAGAGAGAGACAGACCUGGAGGAUUUUGCUGUUCCCUGCCAGUCUCCAUCCACUGUAUGGACCUACAACCAACACUUACAACCUGUCCGACUUGUUUCCUACUCCUCCUUCUGGGUGUCACCCCUAAGAAGCAGACGGUAUCAAUACUCCCAGCGGUUUGGAACAGGAAUGUAAAGAAUGCUCACAAGUUUUCUCACCCUUCCUGAGAAAGGGCGUCCCCACAUACUGUGACACCUUGUCAAGAAAAUGGUCCACUGCCAUGAGCUUUAUCACAUUCCAUAACACUUUGGACUCUGUUUGCAGUUGGAAAAGUGGGAUGGCAGAGGAUUACUUGGAGCUGUCCCUGCAGAAUAUGCAAUGUUCAUAGUGCAGCUGCAGCUGUUAUAGACUGUUUUCUCUGAGCCAGUUGCAUGCUCUUACCUGAAGGGAGAUGCGGGCGCUUUCCCACUGCUCUGACCAUUGGACUUCCAGCCCCACAAAAGCAGCAGCCACUGCAAGUACCGUCAAAACAAGGAGACCCUUCAAGAAAGCAGAGGGAGAAAGGGAAAGAUCUAAGAAAGGCAACCCAGUAGUGGAUUUUCAAGAACUUCCACUGCCCUAGAUCAAGCUUCCUCAACCUAUGGCUCUUGUUGGGUUUGAACUCCCAUCAUCCUCUCUCAGCUCUGGUACCAGGGAAGACCCUUUAAGCAAGGACAGUUCCACUUGUGUUUUCCAUGCAGACCUUAGCCUACUGUUGGCACUCAAUGAAGUCCAGUUGGAAUUACAGGAUUACAGAAUUGGAAGGGGCUUCAAAGGCUAUAUAGUCUAACCCAAAGUUAGGGUUACCUUGUGUAGCCAAUGGAGGUUCAGAGGCUGGUGGCAGAGCUGUAGGCAGAUUGCUAGAACCUGGGAUUAAAAAGAGAGAAAGGUUAGAAACGCAAGGAACCACUUCUGUUGAUCAGCUUCCAUUAUGAGAAUUUUAGAGAUCAUGGCAGGGCAUAGGAAGAGUCCAUUUUGGGAUGACAAUUCCCCAAAUCCCCUACUCAGCAUAGGAAUUAUACUCUGAGCUGAGCCUCCUUAGGCUUGAUGCAGAAGUGCAGUAAAUAACGCAGCACUAAGAAAGAGAGCAAUUGUUAUUGAGUCCUCCUGGGAAUAAUAAUAAAAAACUGUCUGCAACCUAUCCCAGCUACAAUUACUUGGGAGUAAGCUCAGUCUAGCAUAGUGGUUUUGGUGUACAACUACAACUCUGAAGAUCAGGGUUCGAUUCCCAGUUCAGCCAUGAAACCCACUGGAUGACCUUGGAUAAGUGACACACUCUCAGCCUCAGAGGAUGGCAAUGGCAAACCCCCUCUGAACCUUGCAAAAAACCAAACAAACCAUGAUACGUUCCCCUUAGGAUCAUCGUAAGUCGGAAACAACUUUGAAGGCACACAACAACAACAACAGCAACAAAGCUCCACUGACCCGUCAAAGGGCAUUUUGCACUUGCAAGAACAUCAGUUGUUUCUGGGUUAAUGGAAGGGAAAAGCUGUGUGGGCAAGGAGGCAAAAUUAAGGAAUCACCUUCCUGCUAAUCUUGAGAGCCCUUCCCGAUUUCAAAACAGCUCCAGGGGCUCUGUAUAUCAGGUUUGGGACCCAGCCAUGCCUGAUCCUCCCUUCCCUUGGGUCUGAAGGGGUGUGUAUGUGUGCGCACACUAUCUCUUGCCAAUCCAGAUCUACUGCAGUUUGAAGGUGGCAUCCUGGGAGGGCUGUUUGGGCUGCAUCCACACUGGAGAAAUAACCUGGUUUAGUACUGUUUUAACUGCUCUGCUCUGGGCCCCGCAACAUACUCCAACUCCCAGAAUUCGAUAGCCUUGAGCCAGGGCAAUUAAAGCAGUGCCAAACCGGGUUAUUUCUUCAGUGAGGAUGCAGUCCUGCAUGCAUUCCCAAAGGGACCUCCUGUUUCCAAAGCUGCUUCCAGGUUUCAUGCAUAUCUGUCUGGUUUUGCAGGACAUAGAAAUAACAGCAGCCACCCUCUUGCAAUUGACUUGGCAAAAUUUACCCAUACGCCUUCAAUGCAUAUUUAUGCCUCAAGGGAGGGAAGAAGGGCUUUGCUGCUCUUAACAGCAACUGCAACGACAGAAGUCAACUGGUAAUUUUUACUAAGUAGGUUUAAUUUUGCCUUUCCCCGAAGGAUACUCUGAGAGCGGUCGUCUUUUCUGAGGCAGCUGCAUCAAUUUAAAACCUGAUUUAUAUCCUGCCUUCCAUCCAAAAAACGGUGCUCAAGGCUGCUUGCAACAAGACUAAUAAAAAAAAAGAAACCGUAUUAAGUUAUAAUAAAAAAGAAGCCAGAAAAGGCAAUGAUAUCAAAACACACGUUGUCCUGUGAAGACACUGUUGAAUUAAAGAAAGAAAACCAUUUCAAAGUGCAUAAUUUCACUAGCACCCUUAGGCCCUGUGUAUUUAAGCCACUUUGGAGCUGCAAUGUAGAGAUGCUGCUAGGAACGCCCUGCAUCAGAUGGAAAAAUACGACUCUAAAGGCCCAAGAGACCCUGGGAAUUGGACCCUUUUGUAAUCCGAAGUAGGGCCGAAGUAGGGUGAAAUGGGGCUGAUGCCAUUCCUGGCAAAAGAGACAGAGACCAGUCCAUACCAGGAGCAGGGAGGAGUAGGUCACCAGCGUCGCCGUUGCAGAUAUCAUGACCACUGACCAGUCCAGCCACCAGUCUGUCUUGCGGAAAAUGAACCUGUUGGGAAGAAAGAAGAACCAGGGAGAUGUUAUGGCAAAGCUAGAUAGAGAUGGAUAGCCGUUCCGAAAAGCAAAACAGGAACAGAUGUCCCAGUCUGCAGAUUUGCAAACAAGAUUCUCCGUUUCCUGCUGUCAUGGCCCUGGAAAAAAAAGGUGCAGGUGGAGUCCCAGAAGAAGCUAAUCCAGA